rnacentral:rRNA from 1 species
GAUGAACGCUGGCGGCGUGCCUAAUACAUGCAAGUCGAGCGAACGGACGAGAAGCUUGCUUCUCUGAUGUUAGCGGCGGACGGGUGAGUAACACGUGGAUAACCUACCUAUAAGACUGGGAUAACUUCGGGAAACCGGAGCUAAUACCGGAUAAUAUUUUGAACCGCAUGGUUCAAAAGUGAAAGACGGUCUUGCUGUCACUUAUAGAUGGAUCCGCGCUGCAUUAGCUAGUUGGUAAGGUAACGGCUUACCAAGGCAACGAUGCAUAGCCGACCUGAGAGGGUGAUCGGCCACACUGGAACUGAGACACGGUCCAGACUCCUACGGGAGGCAGCAGUAGGGAAUCUUCCUCAAAGGGCGAAAGCCUGACGGAGCAACGCCGCGUGAGUGAUGAAGGUCUUCGGAUCGUAAAACUCUGUUAUUAGGGAAGAACAUAUGUGUAAGUAACUGUGCACAUCUUGACGGUACCUAAUCAGAAAGCCACGGCUAACUACGUG